GUCUAUGGCCAUACCACCCUGAACGCACCCGAUCUCGUCUGAUCUCGGAAGCUAAGCAGGGUCGGGCCUGGUUAGUUACUUGGAUGGGAGAACCUGUGUUUGUCCUUUCUGUUUUUUACC
ensembl:rRNA 5S_rRNA 5S ribosomal RNA